AGCAAAGAACGUGGCCAUGGCUGAAUCUUGUAAUAUCCUUUGCAUAAUUAAUUUGUACUUGCUAUAUUAAUCUGUCUCACAAGCCGAGUUUGUACUAUACUUCUGUGCCGCAUUUCAUAGAACACUUGAAAGAUUAUGGCGGUAAAGGACAAAAAGCCAUCAGUAGAGAUCAACAAUCUCAAGUUCACCUAUCCUGGUAUAGAUGGACAUCCGCCUCCCGGAUCUACCCCUUUGAUAGAUGAUUUCAACCUUACCCUUUAUCCUGGUGAUCGAUGCCUUCUUGUCGGAUCUAAUGGCGCAGGGAAGACUACAAUCCUGAAGAUAUUGGGAGGAAAGCAUA
rnacentral:misc_RNA from 1 species